CAGCAGCCGCGGUAAUACCUAGGUCCCGAGCGUUGUCCGGAUUUAUUGGGCGUAAAGCGAGCGCAGGCGGUUAGAUAAGUCUGAAGUUAAAGGCUGUGGCUUAACCAUAGUACGCUUUGGAAACUGUUUAACUUGAGUGCAAGAGGGGAGAGUGGAAUUCCAUGUGUAGCGGUGAAAUGCGUAGAUAUCGGAAGGAACACCUGUGGCGAAAGCGGCAACCUGGUCCAUAACUGACGCUGAGGCGCGAAAGCGUGGGGAGCAAACAGGAUUAGAGACCCCUGUAGUCCCUGUCUCUUAUACA
rnacentral:rRNA from 1 species